rnacentral:rRNA from 1 species
UACGAGGGGGGCGAGCGUUGUUCGGAAUUAUUGGGCGUAAAGGGUGCGUAGGCGGUUUUGUAAGUCUUAUGUGAAAUCUAUGGGCUCAACUCAUAGACUGCAUGAGAAACUGCAGGGCUUGAGUAUGGGAGAGGUGAGUGGAAUUCCUGGUGUAGCGGUGAAAUGCGCAGAUAUCAGGAGGAACACCGGUGGCGAAGGCGGGUCUCUGGGCCGAUACUGACGCUGAGGAGCGAAAGCGUGGGGAGCGAACAGG